CGCGAAAACUCUGCAAUGAGCGAAAGCUUGACAGGGCUAUCCCGAGUGCCAUCCGCUGAGGAAGGCUUUUACCCAGUCUAAAACGCUGGGGGAAUAAGGAGAGGGCAAGUCUGGUGUCCGCCGCCGCGGUAAUACCAGCUCUCCCAGUGGUGUGGAUGUUUAUUGGGCCUAAAGCGUCCCUAACUGGGUUAUUUAGUCCCCUGUUAAAUCCACCGAAUUAAUCCUUGGAUUGCGGGGGAUACUGCUUGUCUAUGGGACCAGAGAGACAUACGGUAUUUCCGGGGUAGGGGUGAAAUCCUAUAAUCCCGGGAAGACCACCACUGGCGAAAGCUGUCUGCUACAAAGCGCCCGACAGUGAGGGAUAAAAGCUGGGGGAGCGAACCGGAUAAUAUACCCGGGUAGUCCCAGCUGUAAACGAUGCACACUAUGUGUUUGAACGGCCACGUGCCGUUCUAUUGCCGCAGGGAAACUGUUAAAUCUGCCGCCUGGGGAGUACAAUCGCAAGAUUGAAACUUAAAGGAAUUGGCGGGGGAGCAC
rnacentral:rRNA from 1 species